rnacentral:snRNA from 1 species
AUCGCUUCUUGGCCUUUUGGCUAAGAUCAAGUGUGGUAUCUGUUCUUAUCAGUUUAAUAAGAGCUGAAAUAAUAACUGAAUUUUUUGUUUUUGUUUUUUUUUAGAGAGAGAGUGAGAGAGCGCGCAAGCAAG